GAUUCCAACAGUGCCAGCAGGGCUGCUUGCUUGGCCCCUGUGAUACGGAUCCUAUAGCUGCCUCUUGUGCUUGAAAACCCAGUCCCGCCGCCCGUCUAUUUUCGAAACUCCACCGGCGGCAGAAACGCAUAGCAUAUACGACUGCACAGUUUGUGAGCGGUUGUAUAGUGAGAUCCAAUUCGGAAACUCUCCGUUUGCUGCUGUUCUGGGAGAGCAGCAGGGCCAUCGUAGAAUAAACAAAACAGAACGCUAGAGUAGAAAUUUUCUCUCUCGCUAACGGCAGUCUUUUCUUAUUAUCCCGUUCUCUUUUCCAGAUAUUAGUAGCACCUCGCUGACUAAUCGGCUUUUAUUUUUCGCUGGUCAAUCCUGGACGUCUGCCCCGGGAUUGGUCACUGAUAACGAUCCACAUCCGGAAAGAUGUCUUCAGGAGGUCAGAAUGUACCCCCAAGACGUUCUUUCAGAUGAUUCAUCAUGUCCAGGUUCUCCAAAAGUCCAGUUUGUUUAACGUUGUUUAUCUCAAUGGCUAGGAGAGAAUAGUGGAAUGCAAGGAAAAGUCGAGUCGUAAUUUCAUUUGCUUGCAAAUGAAUUGUGAUUGAAUUUUGAAAUCCAUUUAAGUAAGUAAACAAUAAUCUUUCGAUGUGAAAAACAAAUCGGACCAGGAAAUGCAAAGUUAUCAGUUAACCGUUGAUGAGAAAGGCAGUUUCGAGAAACUCUUUCGGUUCAACCCGAGCCAACUCUUGAAUUAUAAAUAGAGCAGACCUACUUCUUCUGGUUCGUCGUCGACGACUUUCGUUCUCUUCCCUCCUCCUUUUCCCAACUUUUUUUUCUCAUCACCUUUCCAUCUUAAUGAGCUUUUGUGUGUGUGUGUCGUCAAAGAAUGGGCACUUGUCCCGCUUAUUAUACUUGGCCAUCACAUUCCAUUUGGCCUAGUCAUAUUCGUCGAGAAAAUGAUCAUCGCCAUUUUCUUUUCAUUCACAACAUUUUCUAGAAAAAUACUCUGGUGGCCGAAAUCGACAACUUGUUUGAAACGUGAAGCAGAAGACGAUAAAAUAACAGCACGAAAAUGCGAGAGAACGAACUGGAAAGUGAAAAUCAUCGCACUCAUGCUUUUGAAUGGCGUUCAGACGACACGUGUCUUUUAUGCCUAAUAGAGAUUAUCCAAGCUGAUUCCAGUACUAGUUUAAGGAUCCAUCGUCGUUUCGCCCUAGCUACACUCAACCACAGACUCAAUCCUGACGUCAUUCGACCGUCCCUGCAGGAGAAAGGCAGCAGCAGCCACAAGAAUCUGGCCAGGUUGUUGCAGAAAAAUCGCAAUGUUUCUUCCCAAGUCCUCGACACACUACUUGACAGUUUAACUUUAAUCGACGUGGUUGAUUUGGCGAUUGAAGCAGUCUACCGACUCUAUCAGCACGUCCUACGCGACGAAUCCAUUUUGGAUCAAGUGCUGACGCACUGCAUUCAGAAGAUUGGACAGAACCUGGACCAACCGGAAAAAUGGGUGCCUUAUCUGAGUGUCAUGCAGCGUCUUGCCCGUCUCAACCCAUCAGCCAUAGCAUUAGCCAUCAACCAAAAUGCCAAGCUGAAAAACGAAAUGGUGGAACACUUGAGCGAUCACCUGACUGAGUUUGUCUCCUUGCACGUCAUCGCCUUGCUGGAUCCCAUCGUCAGGAACGACGGAGAUGAAAUCUUUAUCCGGCCAAGCAGACGACCGAUCCUGAUGUUCCAAUUGGCUCGCCUACUCGAAACCGCUCAAUGCCAACAGUUAAUCUGCGCCGUUUUGGGUUUUGCUCUAAUGCUCUGGAUCAGAGAGGAUUUGCAACAGUUCGGGCAUCAGCAGGACAAUAGCGGCAUGCCGAAAAUUCAACAGCUGUUGCUAACAACGGCCAACGGACUGAAACGGAUCGUGCUUCAGAGCCAACCAGAGAUCCAGGUGGCUGCUUUACAGGUGUUGGAUGCGGCACUGCUCCAAUGUCGCCAGCUGACGGACGGAUCGCGGAUGAUGGCCAUCUUGAUGGAACAACAAGAUUUGGCCGAAUUGAUAUACGAUGUCCUUUACAGCAACCAUCUGCCGUUAUUGGAGUUCGCUUUGCGCUGUUUGCAUCACUUGUCCCGCUGUCCGCUUUUUUUCCAGCAUCGGUGCGUCAUCUUGGGGGUGGAACCCUUACUCAGAGUCAUUCCUCACCUGGCCAGCAGCAACGUCAGCGCGUUGAUCGUUGCCUACGCCGUCCACCUCCUCAGCGACAUGCUCUCCAAGUACGAUGGAGAAGAGUCUCUUCUGCUGCGAUGCAUUUCUCCGGAGCGCUUAAACGGCGGAUUCUCCGCAGCUUGUCAAAUCGCUUGUACAGCACUCAAUUCGUGUGCUAUUCAUCUGGAAACGGGCGGGGCUUGCUUGUUGGCUGCUCUGCUAGACAAGAAAAACUUGCCCGUUCCGAUCCCGGUGGAGCGCGUCAUCGAAUUGAUCCGAUCCUGCCUCCAUUCUUUGGCUCCUCGAGAGAAAAAGUGGAAAACUGAGACGGGCACGAUCCAUCUGCAAGGAUUGAUUCAAAUGUUUUCAUCGGCCGUUGCAUUGAUUGUCUAUUUGACGGACGACCCUUGCGCUCGUCUGAGCUCGUACGCGUCGACCAACAGCGACCAAGUGGCGUCACAUCAAGAAUCGCUCGAUAAAUUGAUUGAUCUCAUCGUCACUUCGAUCGACCAGCUCAUUACUGCGUUCCAGCAAAUCGAUAUAGAUUCCCUUUGGUCUGACCUGUUUCUUUUGCUGGUCCAAUUAGCGUCCAGCUCAGACGUUGGUGCCGUGUACGUCCAAGAUGUUUUGAAGGCCGGUUUCUUGCUGAAACGAUGCUGGGCAGCGAGAGGAUCAGCAACGUCGGAGAAGGAAGCAGCUGAUGACCUCCUGACUUGGUUUCUGGUUCGUUCGCUCAACGGAAACCUGAAUCCCGCACCGGCAUCCAUCCGUGCCACUCUUCGUGGCUUGGUGCGAUCCAUCCCGUCCAGCGUAGCGGAAUUGGGUGGCUGGAUAUCGCGAGAUAAGAAUUCCCCAUUCGGAGCCAAAUGCACCGCCCUCGUUCUGCUUUAUCAGCUGGAAUUGUACGAGACAUCAAAUGACGUGAACCCAAAUAGAGACGUCAGAUUUGUGGGCGAACAUUCGGAUGCCAUUCUAGCAGCCAUUGCUGAUUUAAUGCUGACUCAUUCGCCCUGCGACAUGGACGAUCCUGAUCUCCUGCGCUCCGUCUGGUUCCUUAUCGCUAGAUACAGUGAUGGAUUCCACGAAGCCUCUAAAGCUUUUGUCCAUCUGGUGAAAUGGUUCCAGCCCAAUAGUUCGCUUCUGCUGCCGUGGCUUCAACGCAUUUACACGCCCCAUCUGUCCUUAAUGCGAUGGGCCUUUGCCCUCGACGAUAUCGCCCUCUAUCUCGGCUCUUACAUGAUUCGCUUGUGGAUCGAUCAGGAUGAAGAUGCUAGACAAGCAGAAAGUCUUGUCGAAUUGUGCUUGGAAAGGACCGACGACGUUUUACUCUUGCGCGUUUUCGAUUUGGCUUUCGACGAAGAUGCCAACGUCAGCUGCUGUGCCGUGACCGUCCUGGAGCGAGUGGCCGAUAAAAAUGAGGCUAUGCGUGUGGCCAUUGGCCGUAUGAUUAAGUACAACAUUCCACGAUUCCUCCGGCUGACAGAUGUCACUGAUGACAACUACACUCGAUUGAUAGGUUCUUUGCGUUUGCUGUGUCGCCUGUCGUCAUCGAAUCAUCAAUGUUCAGGGUUGGCGGAUGCCGUCGUUUUGCGAGAUUCGAUUUCAGCUUGGAAAGAUCCGGCCAUCGUCGCUGCUUUGGUCUCUUUCCUGCCUCGCACCAUCCAAUUUGGUGAGCACCAGUUGAAAUUGGGCGCUAUGGAUCUGUGGUCGUGGAGUUGCCGUUACCUCACGUCCGUCUUGACUAGAACAGAAACGGCUUCUUCUCGCGUACUCAGCCAAAUUGUCAUGGAGAAACGAAACUUUCUCGAAUUUGUUGACGAUAUUUACCGUCGUGACGAGCUUCCAGUUUGGAAAAACGUGGUCCAGUUAGUUGCAGCCAUGGCAGCCUUUCAUCAUCUUCACUGCUCGAAGGUCAUUUCGCCCAUUCGCGUUUCCAUGGCUCGGCUUAGUAGGAAACUGACGGCCGGACUGGUUGGCAUUGACGUCGAUGCUGACGAGACGUUAGACGCUAUUCUCCAGUUGCUCGAAUGGCUGCUCGGUGCUGUCGGCGGCGAUUCAAAGUCUCGUCUCGUUAUCGAUCCUUCGUCUGGCGAUGACUCGCGCACAAUGCAACACUGUUGCAGUCGAGAAAAGAACGUUUUGCUGGAACACUUGUGGGCCGUAUUGGUCAAUUGGACGGUACGUGCUGGCGAUGGAUCGACGACCCGAAAUCGAAUGUUCGCCUGUCUGACCCAACUGAUGCGCUUGUGUCAGCAAUCGCUUCCGCCCGCCCAGUUCGCCUUGCUGGCUUCCCAACCGUGGAAUUAUACGGUUGUGGUGGAUGCUAUCCGUUGUCCGUCCGGAGCUAGCGACGAAGCCCUCGAGCUGGCCACCGCAUUGAUCCAGCACUCGAAGACGACGAUGAAAUCUUGCGGAGCUCAUCCGUGGUCCACCCAACUGGAAGAGACACUCAGUCGACAUGCGCCAUCCCAGUAACGGAUUUUUUUUUUUUUUUCAGUUUUUUUUUAAAGAAGAUUACAGUGUCAUAAUUGUCACUUUUCAUCGCCUGUUCCAUUGCUCAUUCCGGAUUCUCGCUUCUCCUAAUGUUUUUCGCGUGUUCUUUUGUGUUUAGGCUCUUUAUAAAUGGCCCCCUGUGCGGCGCAGGCGCGAGCAUAUGAGGCGGCGCGGUUACUCCCGAAUGGAAAGAAGAAAGAAGAAGAAUAAAAGAAAGGAGAGGGAAAAGAAAA